AGGCCAGUAGCUCAAUUAGGUAGAGCACCUGUCUCCAAAACAGGGGGUUGUGGGUUCGAGUCCUGCCUGGCCUGCCU
rnacentral:tRNA from 1 species